rnacentral:sRNA from 1 species
GUUGAGUGGGAAUAAAGAGCUAACAUAAUAUGGAUGGGGAACGCCUAUAAAUCAACAUUCUUCAGUUGCUAAAUAGCUUGAUUUUCAUUAAAAAUGAUAUGGUUCCCUACCAUUUUCCCUACCAAAAAUCCCUUGUCAGAUUAACGUUUGACAAGGGAUUUUUC